GGCGCACGGGUGCGUAACACGUAUGCAACUUACCUAUAACUGGGGAAUAGCCCUCCGAAAGGAGGAUUAAUACCGCAUAACGUCACGGGACGGCAUCAUCCUGUGAUCAAACCUCCGGGGGUUAUAGAUGGGCAUGCGUAACAUUAGCUAGUUGGUGAGGUAACGGCUCACCAAGGCGACGAUGUUUAGGGGGUCUGAGAGGAUGAUCCCCCACACUGGUACUGAGACACGGACCAGACUCCUACGGGAGGCAGCAGUAAGGAAUAUUGGACAAUGGGGGCAACCCUGAUCCAGCCAUGCCGCGUGAAGGAUGAAGGCCCUCUGGGUUGUAAACUUCUUUUGUACGGGAAUAAUCCCCUGGUCGUGACCGGGGUUGAAUGUACCGUAAGAAUAAGGAUCGGCUAACUUCGUGCCAGCAGCCGCGGUAAUACGAAGGAUCCAAGCGUUAUCCGGAUUUAUUGGGUUUAAAGGGUGCGUAGGCGGGCUAUUAAGUCAGUGGUGAAAGCCUGUAGCUUAACUAUAGAAUUGCCAUUGAUACUGAUGGUCUUGAGUACACUUGAGGUGGGCGGAAUGUG
rnacentral:rRNA from 1 species